AAAUUGAAGAGUUUGAUCAUGGCUCAGAUUGAACGCUGGCGGCAGGCCUAACACAUGCAAGUCGAACGGUAACAGGAAGCAGCUUGCUGCUUUGCUGACGAGUGGCGGACGGGUGAGUAAUGUCUGGGAAACUGCCUGAUGGAGGGGGAUAACUACUGGAAACGGUAGCUAAUACCGCAUAAUGUCGCAAGACCAAAGAGGGGGACCUUCGGGCCUCUUGCCAUCGGAUGUGCCCAGAUGGGAUUAGCUAGUAGGUGGGGUAAAGGCUCACCUAGGCGACGAUCCCUAGCUGGUCUGAGAGGAUGACCAGCCACACUGGAACUGAGACACGGUCCAGACUCCUACGGGAGGCAGCAGUGGGGAAUAUUGCACAAUGGGCGCAAGCCUGAUGCAGCCAUGCCGCGUGUAUGAAGAAGGCCUUCGGGUUGUAAAGUACUUUCAGCGGGGAGGAAGGGAGUAAAGUUAAUACCUUUGCUCAUUGACGUUACCCGCAGAAGAAGCACCGGCUAACUCCGUGCCAGCAGCCGCGGUAAUACGGAGGGUGCAAGCGUUAAUCGGAAUUACUGGGCGUAAAGCGCACGCAGGCGGUUUGUUAAGUCAGAUGUGAAAUCCCCGGGCUCAACCUGGGAACUGCAUCUGAUACUGGCAAGCUUGAGUCUCGUAGAGGGGGGUAGAAUUCCAGGUGUAGCGGUGAAAUGCGUAGAGAUCUGGAGGAAUACCGGUGGCGAAGGCGGCCCCCUGGACGAAGACUGACGCUCAGGUGCGAAAGCGUGGGGAGCAAACAGGAUUAGAUACCCUGGUAGUCCACGCCGUAAACGAUGUCGACUUGGAGGUUGUGCCCUUGAGGCGUGGCUUCCGGAGCUAACGCGUUAAGUCGACCGCCUGGGGAGUACGGCCGCAAGGUUAAAACUCAAAUGAAUUGACGGGGGCCCGCACAAGCGGUGGAGCAUGUGGUUUAAUUCGAUGCAACGCGAAGAACCUUACCUGGUCUUGACAUCCACGGAAGUUUUCAGAGAUGAGAAUGUGCCUUCGGGAACCGUGAGACAGGUGCUGCAUGGCUGUCGUCAGCUCGUGUUGUGAAAUGUUGGGUUAAGUCCCGCAACGAGCGCAACCCUUAUCCUUUGUUGCCAGCGGUCCGGCCGGGAACUCAAAGGAGACUGCCAGUGAUAAACUGGAGGAAGGUGGGGAUGACGUCAAGUCAUCAUGGCCCUUACGACCAGGGCUACACACGUGCUACAAUGGCGCAUACAAAGAGAAGCGAUCUCGCGAGAGCAAGCGGACCUCAUAAAGUGCGUCGUAGUCCGGAUUGGAGUCUGCAACUCGACUCCAUGAAGUCGGAAUCGCUAGUAAUCGUGGAUCAGAAUGCCACGGUGAAUACGUUCCCGGGCCUUGUACACACCGCCCGUCACACCAUGGGAGUGGGUUGCAAAAGAAGUAGGUAGCUUAACCUUCGGGAGGGCGCUUACCACUUUGUGAUUCAUGACUGGGGUGAAGUCGUAACAAGGUAACCGUAGGGGAACCUGCGGUUGGAUCACCUCCUUACCUUAAAGAAGC
rnacentral:rRNA from 1 species